UAGUCUACGCCGUAAACGAUGGAUACUAGUUGUUUGGAUUUCGGUCUGAGUGACUAAGCGAAAGUGAUAAGUAUCCCACCUGGGGAGUACGUUCGCAAGAAUGAAACUCAAAGGAAUUGACGGGGGCCCGCACAAGCGGUGGAGCAUGUGGUUUAAUUCGAUGAUACGCGAGGAACCUUACCAGGGCUUAAAUGUAGUAUGACAGACUGAGAGAUCGGUUUUUCUUCGGACAUAUUACAAGGUGCUGCAUGGUUGUCGUCAGCUCGUGCCGUGAGGUGUCAGGUUAAGUCCUAUAACGAGCGCAACCCCUGUUGUUAGUUGCCAGCGAGUAAUGUCGGGAACUCUAGCAAGACUGCCGGUGCAAACCGCGAGGAAGGUGGGGAUGACGUCAAAUCAUCACGGCCCUUACGUCCUGGGCCACACACGUGCUACAAUGGUAGGUACAAUUAGAUGCAACCUCGUGAGAGUGAGCAAAACUGAAAAACCGGUCUCAGUUCGGAUUGUAGG
rnacentral:rRNA from 1 species